AGAGUUUGAUCCUGGCUCAGAUUGAACGCUGGCGGCAGGCCUAACACAUGCAAGUCGAACGGUAACAGGAAACAGCUUGCUGUUUCGCUGACGAGUGGCGGACGGGUGAGUAAUGUCUGGGAAACUGCCUGAUGGAGGGGGAUAACUACUGGAAACGGUAGCUAAUACCGCAUAACGUCGCAAGACCAAAGAGGGGGACCCUCGGGCCUCUUGCCAUCGGAUGUGCCCAGAUGGGAUUAGCUUGUUGGUGGGGUAACGGCUCACCAAGGCGACGAUCCCUAGCUGGUCUGAGAGGAUGACCAGCCACACUGGAACUGAGACACGGCCCAGACUCCUACGGGAGGCAGCAGUGGGGAAUAUUGCACAAUGGGGGAAACCCUGAUGCAGCGACGCCGCGUGGAGGAAGAAGGUCUUCGGAUUGUAAACUCCUGUUGUUGGGGAAAAAGAGGAUGGUACCCAACAAGGAAGUGACGGCUAACUACGUGCCAGCAGCCGCGGUAAAACGUAGGUCACAAGCGUUGUCCGG
rnacentral:rRNA from 1 species